ACAGAUCGUUCAGAGUUUGAUCCUGGCUCAGGAGAACGCUGGCGGCAUGCCUAACACAUGCAAGUCGAACGGAGCCAUCUAAACAAUCCCUUCGGGGUGCGUUUGGGGAAGCUUAGUGGCGGACGGGUGAGUAACGCGUGAGUAACCUGCCUUUCAGAGGGGGAUAACGUUCCGAAAGGAACGCUAAUACCGCAUAACGCAUUUUUACCGCAUGAUAGAGAUACCAAAGAUUUAUCGCUGAAAGAUGGACUCGCGUCUGAUUAGCUAGUUGGAGGGGUAACGGCCCACCAAGGCGACGAUCAGUAGCCGAACUGAGAGGUUGAUCGGCCACAUUGGGACUGAGACACGGCCCAG
rnacentral:rRNA from 1 species